UGAUAGUCAGGUAUCCAUUCAUAUAAACCU
rnacentral:piRNA from 1 species